AGAGUUUGAUCCUGGCUCAAAAUGAACGCUAGCGGGAGGCUUAAUACAUGCAAGUCGCACGGCAGCAUUGAUAUAGUAAUAUAUUAGAUGGCGAGUGGCGCACGGGUGAGUAACGCGUACACAACCUACCCUUAAGAGGGGGAUAACUCAGAGAAAUUUGGGAUAAUACCCCAUAAUAUCGUUUAUAUGCAUAUAUGGAUGAUUAAAGUUCCGGCGCUUAAGGAUGGGUGUGCGUUAGAUUAGGUAGUUGGUGAGGUAACGGCUCACCAAGCCGACGAUCUAUAAGGGGCGUGAGAGCGUGAUCCCUCACACGGGUACUGAGACACGGACCCGACUCCUACGGGAGGCAGCAGUAAGGAAUAUUGGACAAUGCCCGCAAGGGUGAUCCAGCCAUCCCGCGUGCAGGAAGACUGCCCUAUGGGUUGUAAACUGCUUUUAUCAGGGAAGAAACCCCUUGACUUGUUAAGGGUUGACGGUACCUGAUGAAUAAGCACCGGCUAACUACGUGCCAACAGCCGCGGUAAUACGGAGGGUGCAAGCGUUAUCCGGAAUCACUGGGUUUAAAGGGUGCGUAGGCGGCUUAAUAAGUCAGAGGUGAAAGACUACAGCUUAACUGUGGCACUGCCUUUGAUACUGUUGAGCUGGAAUCAGGUUGA
rnacentral:rRNA from 1 species